GCGGGGAAGCGCCGGGCGGCGGUGAGUGGGGCGCGGGGGGCGCUUGCAAACUUUGGCAACUUGAGAUCCGGGGAGGGGGGUCCCUGCCCCAGCUGGGGAGAUGCAUUUUUUUGGGGGGGUGGUUUGCAUGCUGCAGCUGGGGGAGGAGAAGGGAAUUCAGGAUGAUUUUUAUCCCCUCCCUCUUCUCUCCUCGUCUUUGUGGCCGGGGCGGCCCAUCGGCUUGCAGCUCACGUCCCGGGGAAGAUCAAAAGCGGCGGGGGAGAGGCAGAGGGGCAGCAGAGAGCCGCCGCCUCGCUGGGGGGAGAGAAGGGAAAACAGCCCCCCCUCCCCAAAAAAACAACACCCCAAAUUGGCACGGGCGGGACUCGAACCGGCUGCUGCUGCUGCUUCGCCGGACCGCGAGCGCCCGAGGCCGGCGGGGAAAGGUGCGCGGAGGCUGCAGCAUCCUCAGCCCCUGGCCGGUCGCUGCCGCCGGCCGCUCUUUGCCCGCGGUCCAGCGGAGGAGAUGGAGCUGCCUGGGCACGGGCACGGGCGCCGGCAAGGCACCAGCUCCCAGCCAGGACAGGUUACAACAGGAUUUCCCCUGGGCAUGAAUUUGACUAUGACACACCAGUGAUGCUGAGCAAAAGACAGUAGUGAGCAACAACCUACAAAUGAAAACCUGGUGCAGCAAAACGUGAAACAUCAAAUUAUACAUGAUAUCGCUCCUUGGUAGCAAACAAGCUGCUACCCAUCCCUGAUAUUUCUCCUAUUUUGCGUGCGUUGAGCAGCAGAUUGAAUCUGCCUUCUCUGGAGCCCCUGGCUGGAUCGAGCACGCCUGCGUCACGUCUUCCUCCCGGCCGAUGCUGAGAUCAGGAUGCACCUCUCUCUGCUAGUAGGAGGCAGAGCUCAGCACAGAAACACGUGGUGGAAAGGACAAAAGAAGCAUAGAGGAAGGUGGGACAGGCCGGGCACGUGGUGGCCAAAGGAGGAUGCUAAACAACCCAGUGGGAAGAAGACCGUGAUGUUCAAGACAGGACGUGUGAUUAAGACUUGCAUAUCUACAUGUGGCUUUAUAGCACCAGGAACCACAACUUUACUCAGACUUUGUUCCGGCCAGACCCAAUUUCUCCCGUUCCUUCUGUGUAGCUGCCAGAGGCUGUCCUUUAAUAUUGCCCCGUUGUACAAAAAUCCGGUAGCAAUACUCCUUUCUGGCUCUUAGUCUUUCCUUUAUGUUAUUCCUCUCCUAAGGGAGCCCCAUUGAUUUCCAAUAAAGCAGCAGGUUGAUU